GGGGCUGUAGCUCAGUGGCAGGGCACUUGCCUAGCAUGCAUGAGGCCCUGGGUUCAAUUUUCAGCACCAUCA
rnacentral:tRNA from 1 species